rnacentral:tRNA from 1 species
AACAGCGUAUUUUAAUUUAAAAUAUCACCCUGCAAAUGUGACGAUACUUCUUUGAGGUUGCUGUUU